rnacentral:lncRNA from 1 species
UACACGAUCAAGAUCAAUGUGAGGUCAAGACCCUCCGUGUAGGAUAGAACACGGCCAAAACCCCUCUGUGAACUAGAAGAAUAUAUAAUCACGAGUACUUUUCUGGUCGAUCUCAAAAUCAUAUCUCAUAUUCCAAUUCACAAUGUACCGUAUACAAUCUUUGAAAUCUCACAUGUAUCAUCAUAAAAGAUAUUUCCAUAAUAACCAUAUAAUUCGAAUACAUAAUUGUAUAUAAUUGCAUAUACUUUAAUAAUAAACUUAAUUUAUAAAUAUUUUUAAAAUAUUUAUAUUUUUCCACUCACAGUACUAUGUUCGCAAAAUCAAUCAGCCUAGUAAAUUGUUCUGUUAUCAGUAUCGUCGCCUGAAAUACGAUAUAAUUUUUAAAUAAACAAUUAAUUAUUCGAUAAAAUUACAAUCCAACCCGUCUCAAAAUUAAUAUACAUAACAAAGUCAAUUACAAUUAAUUGAUAAUAUAUCCCACUGACUCAUGCCACCAUAAUAGCCAAUAAAUAUUUCAGCUUUCUAAUUUCUCAUUGAUGAUCACAUUAUAAUACCAAUAGUCUUAAUUUGAUUACCCUUCUUCCUCAAUCGCUACUAUGGUUGCCAAGUGCAGGGAAGUCCUUUUUCAUUUUUGGCCACAAUUUGAUGCUAAAAAGUAGCAAUUUCAUUUCCUUCCAAUUAAGCACUGUACAACCGAUUUCAUUUUCCUUUCAUUGGAUCCCUGUUCAACUAAUUCCAUUUCCAUUAGCAUUUCUACUAAUCAAAAUAUGAUUACACAUAUAUUUAUCCACUCAAUUCGAUUUAUGUACCUGCCCUUUUCUAUUCCUUCAGUCUCCCAGCUCUUCUCUCUACAUUCCUCCAAAGUGAGAAAUGGAUAGAUAUGUAUAAUGUUUAUGCUUAUCAAUUACCAUCAUUUCCACUAAUCAUACCUAUUCAAGAACUCAAUUAAAAACUCUAGGAUUUACCAAAAUUAGUAUUUCUUACCUUGAUACAAAGAUCUUUCACAAAUCUGCUUGAAAUCAUACUGUUUCCAUCAAUCCGAAAAUGGAACUAUCAAAUUUGCCCAACUACUUAGAAGCCUAGAAAAUUUUAUAUGAAUUAUACCACAAAAUAUUUACCUCUUUCCUCUCUAAAAAUUGAAGAAAUUGAAUAAUGGAACUCAAGAUUUUCUUCACCCUUUUUUCUUUAUCUUCUCUUUUCUCUUUUCUCUUUUCUUUCUCCUUUUUUCUCUCUCUCGGUCUCUCUCAAUUUUUCCGGUUUCUUCUCUCCCAGCCAUUUCUUCUUGUGUGUGUAUGUAAAGAAUUGGAAGAAAUGGUUUAUAACAUGACACUUGUAUUCCACUAACCCCAAAUUUUGCCAUUCAAGUCCUUCAACAUUAAUAUAUCUUAACAUUAAAUCUUUUACUUCCAAAAAUAGAAAAAUAAAUCCC